CCUACGGGUGGCAGCAGUGAGGAAUAUUGGUCAAUGGGCGCGAGUCUGAACCAGCCAAGUCGCGUGAGGGAGGACGGCCCUACGGGUUGUAAACCUCUUUUGCCGGGGAGCAACGGGCGUCACGUGUGGCGCCACUGAGAGUACCCGGAGAAAAAGCAUCGGCUAACUCCGUGCCAGCAGCCGCGGUAAUACGGAGGAUGCGAGCGUUAUCCGGAUUUAUUGGGUUUAAAGGGUGCGUAGGCGGAUCGUUAAGUCAGUUGUGAAAGUUUGCGGCUCAACCGUAAAAUUGCAGUUGAUACUGGCAGCCUUGAGUACAGUAGAGGGAGGCGGAAUUCGUGGUGUAGCGGUGAAAUGCUUAGAUAUCACGAAGAACUCCGAUUGCGAAGGCAGCCUGCUGGACUGUAACUGACGCUGAUGCUCGAAAGUGUGGGUAUCAAACAGGAUUAGAUACCCUAGUAGUC
rnacentral:rRNA from 1 species